UGAAACUGUCACUGACUCAAGCUCAUGUUUCUGUUGGUGUCCAAAGACAGAGACUCUCUGGAGGAGCCCCUCUGAGUUUGCCUGGUUGUCCUGGGCUACCUUGCUUCACGCAACCUCAUUCCAAGGAUUCCAGGGCCCAGAGUCAGGUGGUGGAACAGCGAAGGAAUGGGUCUUACCUGGAGAAAGACCAACGUUUCCCAUCAGCUCUUAAACACGAUCCUUCUCCUUUCUUUCCUGACCUGGUCUCUGAAUUUUACUUGCUCCCACAUGGGGCGCAUUCCUCCCAAUUCCUUCCAAACGUAUUAGGUUCUGCAUUUCUCUGGCUUUUGCAAGUCACAUAGGAUUCAUUCAAUUAAUGACUAUGAUGUCAAAUACAAUUGGCCGUCUGGAGGUUUAUGUCUGUAAAGAUUUAUUCUGCUUGAAGUGCAAUAAAUAACACCGUCCGGAUAGAAAACA